rnacentral:rRNA from 1 species
UUGAAAAGAACUCUGAAGAGAGAGUUCAAUAGUACGUGAAACCAUAAUGAGUAAAACGGAUAACUGUACUAUUUUAGUGAUUUGCUUCUCAGCAGCUAGUCGUGAUAUUCGAUGGUGCGAGAAUUAGCUGUUUUUCAGCAAAAUUCACGUAGUUAGAAUGUUUCAAUAAGCUGCGAUUUGGUGCAUUUCCUAUCAUUAAAAAGCUUUAUGGUCCUUGCAGAGGCGUAUUGCAGUUCGCACUAUGUGCGAAGUAAUGUGCUGUGCUUUGUGAUUGUUGAGUUUGGCUGAGAUUACUUUAGUCCGAGAUGCUUAAAGCUUUGGCGGCAUGUAUGUCUAGCAGAUUUGUUUAUUCUAGUCUGUGGCGACCAUGCUGUUACGGCUUGCGUCUCAUGUUUAAUGAUCAAGUACUAGUUAUUUGACCCGUCUUGAAACACGGACCAAGGAGUUCAAAUGGCACGCGAGUCUUUGGGUGUAAACAUCCAACGGCGAAGUGAAAUGCGAGUGUAUUGUUAUUUGUGAUAUUCACGAAGAAAUGAUAAGCUACUGAUGCUAUCAGGCAUUUGUAGACUACAAGCGUGUCGUUUGAGACCCGAAAGAUGGUGAUCUAUGCCUAGUCAAGAUGAAGCCAGAGGAAACUCUGGUGGAUGUCUGAAGUUUUUCUGAC